rnacentral:rRNA from 1 species
AGAGUUUGAUCCUAGCUCAGGAUGAACGCUGGCGGCAUGGAUAAGGCAUGCAAGUCGAAUGGGUUUAGGCCCAUGGCAAACGGGUUAGUAAUGCGUAGGAAUAUCCCUCAAAGUCGUGAAUAAUUCGGAGAAAUCCGAAAUAAUACACGAUGUGCUCUACGGAGUAAAGAUUUAUCGCUUUGAGAGUAGCCUGCGUCCUAUCAGCUAGUUGGCGGGGUAAUGGCCCACCAAGGCUCUGACGGGUAGGGGGUGUGAGAGCAUGGCCCCCAACAUUGGGACUGAGACACUGCCCAAACUCCUACGGGAGGCUGCAGUCGAGAAUAUUCGUCAAUGCCCGAAAGGGUGAACGAGCGAUGCCGCGUGCAGGAUGAAGGCUUUCGGGUCGUAAACUGCUUUUUUCAGGGAAGAAUUUCGAUGACGGUACCUGGAGAAUAAGAGGUUACUAACUCUGUGCCAGCAGUAGCGGUAAUACAGAGACCUCAAGCGUUAUCCGGAUUUAUUGGGCGUAAAGGGUGGGUAGGUGGUCGUGUUAGUCAGAUGUCAAAUCCUUCGACUCAAUCGAAGAACUGCAUUUGAAACGGCGCGACUCGAGGCGGUGAGAGACCAGUGGAAUUCACGGUGUAGUAGUGAAAUGCGUUGAUAUCGUGAAGAACACCAAAGGCGAAGGCAGCUGGUUGGCACCGAUCUGACACUGAGCCACGAAAGCGUGGGGAGCGAAUGGGAUUAGAUACCCCAGUAGUCCACGCCCUAAACGAUGCACACUAGGUAUAGGGAGAAUCGACCCUCUCUGUGCCGUAGCUAACGCGUUAAGUGUGCCGCCUGGGAAGUACGAGCGCAAGCUUAAAACUCAAAGGAAUAGACGGGGAUCCGCACAAGUGGUGGAGCAUGUGGUUUAAUUCGAUGGUAAGCGAGGCACCUCACCAGGGUUUGAAACAGAGCUGCAUGUCCCAGAAAUGGGAAGGCCUUCGAGGGUGCUCUGCAGGUGCUGCAUGGUUGUCGUCAGCUCGUGUCGUAAGAUGUUCCGUUAAGUCGGGAAACGAGCGCAACCCCUGUCGCGUGUUACAAGUGUCACGCGAGACCGCCCCGUACCGAGUACAGAAAUUUUUCUGGUUUCGGUACGGGGAGGAAGGAGGGGAUGACGUCAAAUCAGCAUGGCCCUUUGACACCCUGGGCGACACACGUGCUACAAUGACCGGUAUAAAGGGUUGCCAAACCGCGAGGUGGAGCUAAUCUCAAAAAACCGGCCUCAGUUCGGAUUGGAGUCUGCAACUCGACUCCAUGAAGCUGGAAUCACUAGUAAUCGUGAAUCAGCCACGUCACGGUGAAUACGUUCUCGGAUCUUGUACUCACCGCCCGUCACACCAAGAGAGCCGGCAAUACCAGAAGGCCCUGUGUCAAAUCGGGGACGACGGUAGGGUUGGUAAUAAGGGUGAAGUCGUAACAAGGCAUCCGUAGCGGAAGCUGUGGAUG